AAGGAGAGGAGGUUCCCAACACAGGCUACCAGGCAACAAAAACCUCUCCUAAAUAUAAGUGCUAAUUUAGCAGGAGGAGGAGGACUGGGUUCAGUGGAGAUGAUAAUGCUUAGCUGCCAGCAGAAAAUAUUUUGUUAUCUACAGCUGAAAAGCACUACAUAAGUCUAAAUAUUAUUUCAGUAUCUUCUUCCUACCCACUCAAUGCUUUAUAAUGCAAUUAGAGAGCUCCUGGAGGCACUAAUUGGAUCAUAAAGUGCCUUCUUCAUGUUCCAGCUGAGGAGAGAGGAAAAAAGGAUCACUUCACGUCCUCUUUGCACCUGCUAAGAUACACCUUCUCAACUUCUCCUUGAAGAUUGUCAACAAAUUGUUGCUUCUCAUGAGAUUUUUGUUCCAUGAAAUUCUCUAUGGAAUGGCAAUGCAGAGGCCCCAAUAUUAAGAGUUUUUUUCAUGAAGACUGAGAAGCAUCUGAAGUUUGUCCUUUCCUGAAGUUGGAAGGAGUCUCUCUGGUGGAUAAAAGGCAUUCCUUGUCACUCUAUAAAUUGCAACUAUUGUUUAGCUGAAGUCUAUUACUUUGAUUUUGGAUAAUAGAGGGCAGGCAAGCAACUGAUGAUUAAAGGAGCUAGACAUGAUUAGAGAAAAAAAAAAUCA